rnacentral:rRNA from 1 species
UACGUAGGGGGCAAGCGUUGUCCGGAAUUAUUGGGCGUAAAGAGCGUGUAGGCGGCCAGAUAAGUCCGCUGUGAAAUCUCGAGGCUCAACUUCGAGCUGUCGGUGGAAACUAUCUGGCUAGAGUCCGGAAGAGGAGAAUGGAAUUCCUGGUGUAGCGGUGAAAUGCGCAGAUAUCAGGAAGAACAGCCCGUGGCGAAGGCGGUCUCUGGGACGUUACUGACGCUGAGACGCGAAAGCGUGGGGAGCAAACAGG